rnacentral:rRNA from 1 species
UACGUAGGUGGCAAGCGUUGUCCGGAAUUAUUGGGCGUAAAGCGCGCGCAGGCGGUCCCUUAAGUCUGAUGUGAAAGCCCACGGCUCAACCGUGGAGGGUCAUUGGAAACUGGGGGACUUGAGUACAGAAGAGGAAAGCGGAAUUCCACGUGUAGCGGUGAAAUGCGUAGAGAUGUGGAGGAACACCAGUGGCGAAGGCGGCUUUCUGGUCUGUAACUGACGCUGAGGUGCGAAAGCGUGGGGAGCAAACAGG